AUUGAACGCUGGCGGCAGGCCUAACACAUGCAAGUCGAACGCGUGGCGCACGGGUGAGUAACGUAUGGAAAACUGCCUGAUGGAGGGGGUUAACUACGGGAAACGGUAGCUAAUACCGCAUACCAUCAGAUGUGCCCAGAUUGCAUUAGCGUGUGGGUGGGGUAACGGCUCACCAAGGCGACGAUCCCGAGCUGGGCUGAGAGGAUGACAAGCCACACUGGAACUGAGACACGGUCCAGACUCCUACGGGAGGCAGCAGUGGGGAAUAUUGCACAAUGGGCGCAAGCCUGAUGCAGCCAUGCCGCGUGUAGGCAGAAGGCCUUCGGGUUGUAAAGUACUUUCAGCAGGGAGGCGUUACCCGCCUAAGAAGCACCGGCUAACUCCGUGCCAGCAGCCGCGGUAAUAC
rnacentral:rRNA from 1 species